GCCGGUCCUCGGUAGUGGCCCCCGGGCACCACCCCGCACGGGUGCACCCGGGUGCUUCGAUCGAAGACCGGC
rfam:Streptomyces sp. CC53 NODE_52_length_39560_cov_135.243912, whole genome shotgun sequence.